AUUGAACGCUGGCGGCGUGCUUAACACAUGCAAGUCGUGCGGUAACAGGCGUAGCAAUACGUGCUGACGAGCGGCGAACGGGUGCGUAAUACAUGGGAAUCUGCCCUUUAGUGGGGAAUAACCCGGCGAAAGCCGGGCUAAUGCCGCAUAAGGAUCUUCGGAUGAAAGCGGGGGAUCGUAAGACCUCGCGCUGAUGGAUGAGCCCAUGUCGGAUUAGCAGUUGGUGAGGUAACGGCUCACCAAAGGCGACGAUCCGUAGCUGGUCUGAGAGGACGGCCAGCCACACUGGGACUGAGACACGGGCCCAGACUCCUACGGGAGCAGC
rnacentral:rRNA from 1 species